UACGUAGGUGGCAAGCGUUACUCGGAAUCACUAGGCGUAAAGCGCAGGUAGGCGGUUUGAUAAGUCUGUUGUGAAAGCUCCCGGCUCAACUGGGAGAGGUCAACGGAAACUGUCAGGCUAGAGUGUGGUAGAGGGUAGCGGAAUUCCCGGUGUAGCAGUGAAAUGCGUAGAGAUCGGGAGGAACAUCCAUGGCGAAGGCAGCUACCUGGACCAACACUGACACUGAGGCACGAAAGCGUGGGGAGCAAACAGG
rnacentral:rRNA from 1 species